rnacentral:rRNA from 1 species
GGUAGUCCACGCCGUAAACGAUGGGCACUAGAUGUGGGGGGUAUCGACCCCCUCCGUGUCGAAGCUAACGCAUGAAGUGCCCCGCCUGGGGAGUACGGCCGCAAGGCUAAAACUCAAAGGAAUUGACGGGGGCCCGCACAAGCAGCGGAGCGUGUGGUUUAAUUCGAUGCAACGCGAAGAACCUUACCUGGGUUAAAUCUGUGUCGACCGGCCGUGAAAGCGGUCUUCCCUUCGGGGGCGGCAUGGACGGUGCUGCACGGCUGUCGUCAGCUCGUGCCGUGAGGUGUUGGGUUAAG